rnacentral:tRNA from 2 species
UGGGGGAUCAUCUAAUGGUAAGAUCGCGGACUCUGACUCCGCUUAUCUAGGUUCAAAUCCUAGUCCCCCAGCCA